rnacentral:rRNA from 1 species
CCUACGGGAGGCAGCAGUGAGGAAUAUUGGUCAAUGGUCGGGAGACUGAACCAGCCAAGCCGCGUGAGGGAUGAAGGUACAGAGUAUCGUAAACCUCUUUUGUCAGGGAACAAAGGCGGGGACGUGUCCCCGGAUGAGUGUAACUGACUAAGAAGCCCCGGCUAACUACGUGCCAGCGGCCGCGGUAAUACGUAGGGGGCGAGCGUUAUCCGGAUUCACUGGGGGUAAAGGGAGCGUAGACGGCCAUGCAAGCCAGGGGUGAAAGCCCGGGGCCCAAACCCGGGACUGCCCUUGGAACUGAAUGGCUGGAGGGCGGGAGGGGCAGGCGGAAUUCCUGGUGUAGCGGUGAAAUGCGUAGAUAUCAGGAGGAACACCGGCGGCGAAGGCGGCCUGCUGGACCGCGACUGACGUUGAGGCUCGAAAGCGUGGGGAGCGAACAGGAUUAGAUACCCGGGUAGUC